rnacentral:rRNA from 1 species
AGAUUGAACGCUAGCGGGAUGCUUUACACAUGCAAGUCGAACGGCAGCGCGGACUUCGGUCUGGCGGCGAGUGGCGAACGGGUGAGUAAUAUAUCGGAACGUGCCCAGUAGCGGGGGAUAACUACGCGAAAGCGUGGCUAAUACCGCAUACGCCCUACGGGGGAAAGGGGGGGAUUCUUCGGAACCUCUCACUAUUGGAGCGGCCGAUAUCAGAUUAGCUAGUUGGUGAGGUAAAGGCUCACCAAGGCGACGAUCUGUAGCUGGUUGAGAGGACGACCAGCCACACUGGGACUGAGACACGGCCAGACUCCAGGGAGCAGCAGGUGGGAAUUUGGACAAGUGGGGGAAACCCUG